rnacentral:misc_RNA from 1 species
GAUGAAGAACGUAGCAAAAUGCGAUAAGUAAUGUGAAUUGCAGAAUUCAGUGAAUCAUCGAAUCUUUGAACUCACAUUGCGCCCGCCAGUAUUCUGGCGGGCAUGCCUGUUCGAGCGUCAUUUCAACCCUCAAGCACAGCUUGGUGUUGGGACUCGCGUUAAUUCGCGUUCCUCAAAUUGAUUGGCGGUCACGUCGAGCUUCCAUAGCGUAGUAGUAAAACCCUCGUUACUGGUAAUCGUCGCGGCCACGCCGUUAAACCCCAACUUCUGAAUGUUGACCUCGGAUCAGGUAGGAAUACCCGCUGAACUUAAGCAUAUCAAUAAGCGGAGGA